AUAUAUAUAUAUAUAUAUAUAUAUAUAUAUAUAUAGAACUAGGCUGGAAUACUCCUUGGAUUGACAAAUGUGCGGUUAAGAUGAUGUGGGCCCCUUGGGGUUGAGUAGGUGGUUGGUUGAAUAGUUUAAUCUAACGGAUAAAAAUAAUUGAAAGGGUUAAUCUAAUAGCAGAAAAUUUGAUAGCACCAAAUGUUUGGUGCUAUUGAUAGCAUAGUAGCCGGACUCUAUAUAUAUAUAGCUAGGCUGGUAUACUAUCGGUAGCACGGAGGCCUCCGUGCUACCAAGUUGUUUUCAAUGAUGCAGCUUCCAAAUCGACGAUCGAUUCCGUUAGACUUGAUCUACAUCAGUGAAAGUAUUUGGAAACUAAAUUUUAUAAAUUUUUUGUAUCAUUUACCUAUCAAACGAGCAGUCUAAAAAUGAACGGCUGAAAAUAAAAAUCUUCUAAAAAAUGAUGAUAAAAAAUUUGAAUUUAAUAUCAGGGGUACUGAUCUUACUCUAAAUAGUGAAAAAAAAUUUCUAUAAAAAUUUCAUCAGAUUUGGAUUAUUUUACACCGUUAAAUUCACAAACGCAUUAUAUCUACUAUUAAAAUUGUCAAUUUUGAGACCUUUUGAUCACUACCCAAAUGAUAUCGAAAAAUUAUAAAAUUUAGUUUCCAAAUACUUUUAAUAGUGUAGAUCAAGUCUAACGGAGCUGAUUAUCGAUUUGGAAGCCGCAUCAUUGAAAACAACUUGGUAAUACGGAAGCCCCCGGACUACCGAUAGUAUACCAGCCUAACUAUAUAUAUAUAUAUAUAUAUAGUAGGGCUGCUAUACUCUUAUGAGUAGUGGGCCCUUAGUACUCAUAAGUUGUUUUCGAUGAUGGAGCUUUUGAAUCGACGAUCCACUCCAUUAAAUAUAAUCUAGAGUAUUUGAAACUUCUAGAAAAUAAAUUUCGUAAUUUUUCAAAAUUAUUAUAAAGUCCAUCAAGCGGGCAUAAAAUGAACGGUUAAAAUCGAACGACGUCAUAAAAAUAGAUGAUCGGAUCCUUCAAUUUAAGAUCGGAGUUAUUGAUCUCUAUCUAGGUAGUUAAUAGAAUUUUCUAUCAAAAAUUCAACCUAUUCCGAUUCUUUUCUACCUUUAAACUAGCAAGUAUCUCAUACCGGCCGUUAAAAAUUGUCAAUUUUGUGAACUUUUGAUCGUAAGGUACAUAAUGUCAAAAAAUUAUAAAAUUUUAUUUUUAGAAGUUUUAAAUGCUUUAAAUAACGUUUAACGGUGUGGAUCGUCGAUUCGGAAGUUCUAUUAUCGAAAACAACUUAUGAGUACGAGGGCGAUCGUACUCAUAAGAGUAUAGCAACUGGACAUAUAUAUAUAUAUAUAUAUAUUGGGUCCUGAAAUUAUAAGGUGGGUGACACUUUGGCCCUUAAAUUUUAAUUUAUUAUAAUUUUUAAUCAAACUUUCGAAAUUACUACAAUCAAGUUUUAGAAUCAAAUUUAGUUUACUAAAUAUUAAUAUAUUCUCUAACAUAUAAAUAAUGUGGCAGUGCUAUGAUUCAUAAUAUAUCAAUAAUUGAGAUGCGAUAUUAUUUUUAUAUAUUUAGAACGCGUUAAUAUUUAGUUAGCUAAACAUAAUUAUAAAACUUAAUUAUAAUAAUUUUUAAAAUUUUAAUUAAAAACUAUAAUAAAAAAAUUUAAGAACUAACGUAUCAUAUGGCAUAUAAUUAAUUUAGGAAAAACUUCAAAAACCCCCUAUGUGGUUUCGUAGUUUCUCACUUUGACCCUUGUGGUUUAAAAUGUAUCAAAUUGCCCUCCUGUGGUUUCUUUUUUAUCUUUUCGGUAGCUUUUUCGUUAAUAUUUCAUUAAAUUAUAUACAAAAAACUUCAGAUACUCAUUUAGAUUUAUCAAAUAUUCACUUUAGUAUCCUUUAAAUUAACUUUAUCACUGAUUUAAAAAAAAUACUGAAAUUGAUAAGAAAAAGAGAAAAAAGAAACCACAAGAGGGCGAAUUGAUACAUUUUAAACCACAGGGGGGCAAAAUGAAAAACUAUGAAACCACGGGAGGGGUUUUUGAAAAUUUUCCAUUAAUUUAUGUGCCAAACGUACAAUUUACC
rnacentral:lncRNA from 1 species